ACAACAUGCCUCCUAACUGCAUUUCUUUCAUUUAAUAGACGGGUGGUAUGAAACACUCCAUUUGUAAGCAAUAUUCAAUUAUUAACGCAUCAUAUGUUUGGACAGAAGUAUUCAAAAUUUUAAAUUUGUGUUAAAAAUCGGAUGUUUUUUUUAUUGAGGAGAAUAUAUCGAAAAAAACUGCUUUCUGGGACGGUGGCUAUGAUAGCACUUGUGGUUGCACCACAUACUGACACGGUGGAAAUGCCAGAAGAAAAGAAAAAGACAAAUGCAAACUCACAAGGGAAACGGAAACCAACCUCCUUAAAUGACACAUCAUGCUCAUCUGGAAAGAAAAAAAACCACAAAACAACCCUCCUCAAAGAAUAAAACCAAGCAAAACAGUACUUCAAAAGUUAAUAAAGAUUGUGGAAAAAAACAAACACAUCAGCAUAGGAAAAUAGUUUUUAAAUAAAAAAGAAAUGGAAAAAACAGAGCAGCUCAAGAAAAGAAUCUGAUAAAACAAAGGCAACAGAGAAACGGAAACAAAGUACAUUCUUAUGUGAACUAAUAAUACUAUUACCAGAGAACUGCAGGAAGGAGCAACCUAAGAAAUUUCUUAAAACUAAUUUUGGUUUU